UGUUGACACAGGAGAUAAGAUGGGCAGAUGGGAAGAGAGGAGGGAGGGCUGCCACUGCCCAGCAGGCAGCCGGGCAGCCUGUGGAUCCCAAGAUUGGGGUAGUUCCUUGGGUUGGUCUCAGUGUUGUGGGAGGAAGACAUAAAGGAGCCCAGAGCCACUUCCUAAGGGCUCUGAAACCUGUCCACAUGAAAUAGACACCAACACUCAGCUGUGAUCUCUUUGAAUGUGACAAGGGUAAGUUCCAAUUUUCCCUUUUUCAGGUUUAGAACACUUAAAUGCAUUUUCCUGAAGCCCUUUAACCUCCAUCCCGUAGGAUGCCCUCUCACCUUCUCACAGAGGCCCCGUGGCUGUCACCUUUCCAUGUGGCAGGCAGCUGAACUGUGUGCGGGGAUCCUCCUUGGAGAGGCAAAGCCUUUGAUGUGCAGCAGGCAGCGGACCGAUCUGAAGUAGUCAUCUGACUUCGACAACUGCUUUGCUUUCCUCAUGGCAGAUGCCGGUAAUGGUGGCCGAGUAGUGGGGCCGCACAGAGAUCCCGGUCUUCUCUGAGGCUGGUGCUGUGCUUGCUUUAUGUGUCCACGGACCUUCAUCUGCACCUUUGGAGCCAAACAGCAUUUGGACCUGGAAAUGUUUUGGAUUAUGGUGUGGAUACCACAUACCCUACACCACCCCAUGAAGUAUGGGAAGCACCCUGUAAGCAAAUGGGUCUUCUGGGGAGACAGAGGCACCUAGGACCAGACAUGUGGAGGGCGGACGACCGCAGGCAGGAGCCUCUGGCCAGAGCAGCCUCUAGAGAUGCUCCUCAUCAUCCCUUCUGGGAUUACUUUUUUAAAAAGAACUUGAAAAAUAAUUCUGAAAUGAACUGUACACACGAAAGAGUAUUUGUAACUUACAUAUACAUAGAAAUAGCAAUAAUAAAUGAAGACACAUCCAGGUUAGCAGUUAGAACGUUACCCUAACUUCUAAAUGGUCCCAUAAUCUUCUUCUUUUUUUUUUUCUUCACUUUCACUGCAGUAACCACUGGCCCAGAUUAUAUGUUAAUCAUUACCCUGCCUUGUUUAAAGUUUUACUGUAAAUGUGUGAGUCGCCAAGCAAUAGAUGGCUAGAUUUUAUCUGUUUUUGAAUAUUUGUAAAUAAAGUU
rnacentral:lncRNA from 1 species